rnacentral:sRNA from 2 species
CUUAUUGGAACUGAAUUUAAGUGAUCUGACUCAUUCGUCACUACCACUGAGACAACAUUGAGUUAGCUUUUUUCACCAUAGGGCUGGUUUUCCCCAUGUGUGAGGAGAGGUGAGAAGUGGUUAAGUUGAUCUCCCUGUGGAAACCAGCAACAUAAUGCUGAAGCACAAUUCAGUAAAAGGUGUUCUACAAGGGACCAAGCAUUCACAGCUCUGAUGGAGGGCAAAAUCAAUAAGCAGCUGAAAAAAGUUCUGAAGAAAAUAGUAAAAGAAGCCCAUGAACCGCUGGCAGUAGCUGAUGCUAAACUAGGAGGGGUCAUAAAGGAAAAGCUGAAUCUCAGUUGUAUCCAUAGUCCUGUUGUUAAUGAACUUAUGAGAGGAAUUCGUUCACAAAUGGAUGGAUUAAUCCCUGGGGUAGAACCACGUGAAAUGGCAGCUAUGUGUCUUGGAUUGGCUCACAGCCUUGUUAGAUGACUUGGAUAAAGAACUAAACAACUACAUUAUGCGAUGU